rnacentral:misc_RNA from 1 species
CAACACUCAAGCUCUGCUUGGUAUUGGGCGCCGCCCUGUGCGGGCGCGCCUCAAACUCCUCGGCGUCGCCGUCCGUUUUUAAGCGCAGCGAGAUCAUUUUCCAGCGUUUUCAAAGCCGGGCCUCGACCGCCGGACAAUACCUUCUACUUUUCAA